CCCCAACUACAACAGCCCAAUCCCUAACUACAACUCAAUCCCCAACUAUGUCUACAGCUACAGCAACAUCCCCACCUACAAAUUCAACACCUGCUUCAGGGCCGUAUUAUGUUGUUGCUCUGAAUGGCAGGAUCUCCACAAGUUUGUCACUGGAAAAUGAUUAUGAGACCAUUGUGAAACAGAUUAAAGAUGAACUGGUCAGACGAGGACUGCCACCAACAAUGAUUGUUCGCCUCCUCAGGGCCGUGACAACAAGUCGCUAAGGCCAAAUAUGUAUCUAAUACCUGUAUAUAACCAUAUAACGCUCUCUGAAGUUUCAAGUCAUUUGUUCUUUUUCUGUUUCUGUAUUUACAAAUUUCUUUAGGAAUUUGUAUUCUUUGCAUGUUUUCAUGCAUAAAAAAAU